AUUGAACGCUGGCGGCAGGCCUAACACAUGCAAGUCGAACGAGUGGCGGACGGGUGAGUAAUGUCUGGGAAACUGCCCGAUGGAGGGGGAUAACUACUGGAAACGGUAGCUAAUACCGCAUACCAUCGGAUGUGCCCAGAUGGGAUUAGCUAGUAGGUGGGGUAACGGCUCACCUAGGCGACGAUCCCUAGCUGGUAUGAGAGGAGGACCAGCCACACUGGAACGUAGGCACUGUCCAGACUCCUACGGGAGGCAGCAGUGGUGAAUAUUGCACAAUUGGCGACAGCCUGAUGCAUCCAUGCCGCGUGUAUGAAGAAGGCCUUCGGUUUUUAAAGUACUUUCAGCGAGGAGGCGUUACUCGCAGAAUAAGCACCGGCUAACUCCGUGCCAGCAGCCGCGGUAAUAC
rnacentral:rRNA from 1 species